rnacentral:rRNA from 1 species
UUUCCGUAGGGGGGACCUGCGGAGGGAUCAUUACAGAGUUACUACUCCAAAACCCAUUGUGAACCUUACCUAUGUUCUGUUGCCUCGGCGGCGUGGUCAGCGCCCCCUCUGAAAAGAGGACGAUGCCCUCCCGCCGGCAGCACCAAACUCUUGAAUUUUACAGCGGAUUACAGUUCUGAUUUGAAAAGAAAAAACAAGUUAAAACUUUCAACAACGGAUCUCUUGGUUCUGGCAUCGAUGAAGAACGCAGCGAAAUGCGAUAAGUAAUGUGAAUUGCAGAAUUCAGUGAAUCAUCGAAUCUUUGAACGCACAUUGCGCCCGGCAGUAAUCUGCCGGGCAUGCCUGUCCGAGCGUCAUUUCAACCCUCGAACCUCCGUUUCCUCAGGGAAGCUCAGGGUCGGUGUUGGGGCGCUACGGCGAGUCUUCGCGACCCUCCGUAGGCCCUGAAAUACAGUGGCGGUCCCGCCGCGGUUGCCUUCUGCGUAGUAAGUCUCUUUUGCAAGCUCGCAUUGGGUCCCGGCGGAGGCCUGCCGUCAAACCACCUAUAACUCCAGAUGGUUUGACCUCGGAUCAGGUAGGGUUACCCGCUGAACUUAAGCAUAUCAAAAGCCGGGAGGAA